rnacentral:rRNA from 1 species
GCAGCCGCGGUAAUUCCAGCUCCAAUAGCGUAUAUUAAAGUUGUUGCAGUUAAAAAGCUCGUAGUUGGAUUUCUGGUGGGAGCGACCGGUCGGCGCUUAACGGCGUGUGCACUGGAGUUGUCUCUUGCCAUCCUUGAGGAGAACGUGUCUGGCAUUAAGUUGUCGGGCUUGGGAUCCUCAUCGUUUACUGUGAAAAAAUUAGAGUGUUUAAAGCAGGCAUUUGCUGUGAAUACAUUAGCAUGGAAUAAUAAGAUAGGACUUUGGUGCUAUUUUGUUGGUUUGCGUACCAAGGUAAUGAUUAAUAGGGAUAGUUGGGGGUAUUCGUAUUCAAUUGUCAGAGGUGAAAUUCUUGGAUUUAUGGAAGACGAACAACUGCGAAAGCAUUUACCAAGGAUGUUUUCAUUAAUCAAGAACGAAAGUUAGGGGAUCGAAGAUGAUUAGAUACCAUCGUAGUCUUAACCAUAAACUAUGCCGACUAGGGAUUGGGCGUCGAUAAUUUAAUGUCAUGCUCAGCACCUUAUGAGAAAUCAAAGUCUUUGAGUUCCGGGGGGAGUAUGGUCGCAAGGCUGAAACUUAAAGGAAUUGACGGAAGGGCACCACCAGGAGUGGAGCCUGCGGCUUAAUUUGAC